GUAACUCAAAUUUGAAUGGAGUUGGAACGUUUGCCGCUAAGAGCGCUGUUCCAACUUCAUACAAAUUUCAGCUA
rnacentral:pre_miRNA from 1 species